AGCUCUUACGUCCAAAACCCACAGCAUAAGCGGAAAUUCAUAUAGAACAUACACCCAAAUGACCGUCGAAUCAAUUCAAAACACACACAAAUCCUAAAUCCAUGAAAGUCGUAACCGAUUAAAGAGUUCCUUGAAGUAUGCGUGUGGCCAGGUCAGAUAUCCAAAUCUAACACAUAACCUGAAUCCAUGAAAGUCGAAACUAGGAGUGGCAAAAUGGGUCAGAUAUUUGAUUUUACCUUCAGUCCUUGAACUUGAAAACACUCUAACUGAACACUGUACAACUUCAAUUAUUGAAU
rnacentral:lncRNA from 1 species